CAUUUUGUCCUGCAUGUACAGGAGGCUGCUUUGUGACAGCAAAACAUAACAGUUAUCCACUGAGGCAAAGCAUGUGACUUCAGAAGUGCAGUUCAGUAUACAGACAGAUAUAGCCACAACAAACACACUCAUUAAUGUCUUGGAAAGAUAUAAGCCACAUGCAUCUUAGCAUGCAGAGACCGCUGGGACUAAGAGAGAAACUAAUGCAGCGGGAUAGAGCAGGUUUGAAAGAGCAGAUCAAUACAGCAGGUACAAGCGUAAUUCACUAAUGGUUCUGUGGACGGACAAAAACAGCCCGGGGGACUAUUUAUAUACUCUCACUGUGAGGGGCUUGACUCCCAGAACCCUGCCCGAAUGUCGAGGGUUACAACAUCAUGAUCAUCCCGCUGGCCUCCUCCCAAAAUGACAAACGUUGACAAAACCACACUAUGUUAGUCACAGAGUGGUCGCCCACAACAAAAAGUCAAAUAAAAUAAAAAUAUCGACUGCAGGAGUUAAAAAACUAAAUACCGCCUUUGCCUGUUCACCCUCUCACUUCCAAUGCCUAUAUCUGUCUUGAUGUAGUUAUUAUAUUUCCCAACAGGCAUGUUUUACAAUCGGACACAUACGUCCCUGGUGAAUGCAGCCAGAUGCUACAAGACAUUAUGGAAAACGAGCUAAAUAUAUUCUUCUCAGCGAUGGCAAAGGACUUCACAUCUUUUGUUCGCAAUCCGUCCGUAAAUAAGCCACAACUUUGAGCAUGAUGUUCCACUUUGAUUUGAUUUGAAUGAUUCCAUGGCAGCUAUAGAAUUAAAUGGGAUGUUAAAGAUCACAUGUCUGUUUGAACUGCUGCUCAGGACCAGAGGUAAAUAAUGAAAAUGCAGGUUUUUCUACUUUAGGAAUUCAGUUUAUGUUCAAUCACUAUGUUUUGGGUGCAAAGCAGAGGCAACGUACAUUUGUUAGGCCUACGGUGACUCAGUAAGUCUGCUCCUGUAGCUGAUCUUGAUGUUCCCAUGAGGAAUUGAUGUAGAUUGUAAGAGAUCAGCCUACCGAAGGCGAUGAAGCUCUGUGAUGUGGCAUUUCCUGGUUCUCCGCUCUUUCUCACGCUGUAACUCAUUCCCUCGUGGCCGUCGUCCACCGCUUCAUUUCCCCCACCAUGUUCAUAUUGCACAACCAGACUCACCUAAUCUAACUCAGUUGUGGCUGCUCAUAAUGAAGCCAAAGAAAAGGGGAUUUUUUUCCCCCCGCACUUAAUGAUUCUCAGCGUCUUUCAAUACAUAAAAGCAUUCCUGCAUUCAUUUGCCAGAUAGAAACCAAAAGCGUAAUCCAAAAAAAGCAACUUGUAUUCAUUCUGUGCUGAUCACUACAGCAUGUGCCAAAUGUUUGUCUUGUGUAGAACAUGGCGGAGUUGUCGUGCAAUUAAAAAAAAAAAGGCUUUUAUCCUAGCUUAAACAAAGAAUGACUGGGUGACAGAAGACAGACAGAAAUGUGAAGAGCUGCAGACCACGGAUGAGGAAAGACGGACGGAUUUGCGGCAGAAACACCGAGUCAUGGCCGAUGACCUGCAGGGGAGAAGGAACGUGGGAGUGUGUGGUCGGGGUGAAAUGACACGGGACCUUGACGGUGGUAGGCAGGCAGCGAGGGCACCGGCGGAGAAAGGGACUUGUUGGAAAACACGAGGGAAAUUCUGAAGCACUGCAGAUGGCCGAGACACGUGUUCACCACCCGGUGGAUUUCCACUUAAAAGCUUUGCUGACAGAUGGAUUCCCCAGACAUUCCAGUUGCAUUCAGGCCCAUAAAGGUUGUUUUGAGAUAUUCAGUAUACAGCAGGUGAAACAGCCAUUUAAGCAGAUGUUCAUCUGCACACUGAUUUUUAACCAUUACCUGUCAUUAAUUUCCAGGAAAAUAAUGACGAUUUUGAAGGUGGAUCAACUUCACAAACACAAAACUAGAGGCUUUUUUGUGUUUGUUUUCUGUUGUAGAAAUGUACCGACUUCGGCUUCAAUACUGCAACAUAGAAAAUGUAAUCCAUUCAAGGUGGUAAAAUAAAAGCAAAAAAAUGAAA